AUACGUAGGGAGCAAGCGUUGUCCGGAAUUACUGGGCGUAAAGGGUGCGCAGGCGGGACUGCAAGUUGGAUGUGAAAUUUCGAGGCUUAACCUCGAACCUGCAUCCAAAACUGUAGUUCUUGAGUGAAGUAGAGGUAGGCGGAAUUCCGAGUGUAGCGGUGAAAUGCGUAGAUAUUCGGAGGAACACCAGUGGCGAAGGCGGCCUACUGGGCUUUAACUGACGCUGAGGCACGAAAGCAUGGGGAGC
rnacentral:rRNA from 1 species